GUUAAUUUGGUCAGUUACAGCUAUCGAUUCAAAAAAUUAAUUAUAUUAUUUUAUUUAAAAUUACGGUUAUCAUUUGUUUAAGUUUACCCAUUGCACUUUAAAUAAACGACUCAUAAAAUCUCUAUCUAUUGCACAUGCUCUAAAAUAAGUUAUCGACUAUAACGUCAUCGAUACACGGAAGGGCUAUGUUGUAGGAGAUUUUUUAGAUUGUGGUUUGACCUGUAUUUAUUUGACAUGGAGGUUUAUCUUGCAAAAAAAAAUUAUAUUGAGGGUUUUUUUGCACAAAAAUCUUUAUGUUUUCAAACGGAGUUAUCGAGUGCCACGUCAUCGAUACCCGGGAGGGUUGUAUUGCGGGUGACUUCAGAGAUUGUGGGAUUGACUUGCAUAAUUCGGACUUGGAGGGUAAACUUGCAAACGAAAUUGACCUGGAGGGUUAUUUUGCAGAAACCCAUUAAAAUAUUUACAAGGGAUUUUAAAAGGGUUUUAAAUGAUUUACAAGGGAUUUUAAAAGGUUUUAAAAAGAUUUACAAGAGUUUUUAAAGGGUUUUAAAAUAUUUACAAGGGAUUUUAAAAGGGUUUUAAAAUAUUUACAAGGGAUUUUAAAGGGCUUUAAAAGAUUUACAAAGGUUUUUAAAAGAGUUUUAAUGGGUUUAAACAAGGGAUUUUAAAAGGGUUUUAAAAGAUUUACAAGAGAUUUUUAAAGGGUUUAAAAGGGUUUUAAAAGAUAAUAGACAUGACCUGAAACCCGAACAUAGGGUUCGAUUGGUGACCUAUAAAGGAAUAUUAGGAAUGAAGAGAAACAUGACUAAAAAAGAACAAACUCAAAGAGAAAAAAUGAUAAAAUAGGAAUGAAAAAGAAUGAGUGUAAAGGAUAAAAUAGCCAAAAUAGACAUGUCUUUAUCAGUAGAACCUAGAAACCCGUUAAUGACUGUUAAUCUGUCCAAAACAACGUCGUUUGAGAAUAAUCGAAAGAACAUAAAGAUUUUUCCCAUAUGAAAUCUCCAUACCAAAAAGUUUUAAGCAGAACCCAAGAACAUAGUUUGAUAUAGAGAUAAUCGUAGUGCCAUUAAUUGGAAGCAAAUAAAGGUGUUUUCGUUUAUAUAUUUGUUUUAAAUUUUAAAAGGAAUCAUGGAAGCAAAUUGAAGACUCAUUAUAAGAUUGUUCGUCUUGUUUGAGCGGUUGUAGAAACAGAUUUGGGGAACUGGGGUUUCAUUUAGAAAACAAUCUCGAUU
rnacentral:sRNA from 1 species